rnacentral:rRNA from 1 species
AACGAACGCUGGCGGCAUGCCUAACACAUGCAAGUCGAACGAGAUCUUCGGGUCUAGUGGCGCACGGGUGCGUAACGCGUGGGAAUCUGCCCUUUGGUUCGGAAUAACAGUUGGAAACGACUGCUAAUACCGGAUGAUGACGAAAGUCCAAAGAUUUAUCGCCAGAGGAUGAGCCCGCGUAGGAUUAGCUAGUUGGUGUGGUAAAGGCGCACCAAGGCGACGAUCCUUAGCUGGUCUGAGAGGAUGAUCAGCCACACUGGGACUGAGACACGGCCCAGACUCCUACGGGGGGCAGCAGUGGGGAAUAUUGGACAAUGGGCGAAAGCCUGAUCCAGCAAUGCCGCGUGAGUGAUGAAGGCCUUAGGGUUGUAAAGCUCCUUUACCCGGGAUGAUAAUGACAGUACCGGGAGAAUAAGCUCCGGCUAACUCCGUGCCAGCAGCCGCGGUAA